AUGAAACAAAAGGCUGGCUAUUCUGACAGUCCUUUGGACCAUCACCAACAUACAUCUGAUGAAUGUGCUGUGCGAGGGAGGAUGUAAGUGUCUGACUGUGAAGCAGUCACCUGCAGAAAUCACUCUGCCUACAGGAAGCACUGGCCAGCUCCUCUGCAGGUGGGAUUAUGACUGUGAAGCACUGAGAGCCCUAGUGCAGUGGUCACAGAAUGGAAGUAGACAUCUCCAGCAAAACUCAACAACCAGUGGGCCAACAAGUGAAACAUUUACAUACAACCUCACUGGAUCAAAUGACUCUGGGCUGCACAGACAACAUUGCGAAAGGAGAGAGGUCGGUGUUUCCUCAGUAUCUUGUGAUAGCUGCGGUUUGCGGCGGCACUUUGAUGAUCCUCCUCUUCAUUGCACUGAGCG